rnacentral:rRNA from 2 species
GUGACAGGUGCUGCAUGGCUGUCGUCAGCUCGUGUCGUGAGAUGUUGGGUUAAGUCCCGCAACGAGCGCAACCCUUGUCUUUAGUUGCCAUCAUUAAGUUGGGCACUCUAAAGAGACUGCCGAUGACAAAUCGGAGGAAGGUGGGGAUGACGUCAAAUCAUCAUGCCCUUUAUGUCCUGGGCUACACACGUGCUACAAUGGUCGGUACAACGAGAAGCAAGUCAGCGAUGGCAAGCAAAUCUCUAAAAGCCGAUCCCAGUUCGGAUUGCAGGCUGCAACUCGCCUGCAUGAAGUCGGAGUUGCUAGUAAUCGCGGAUCAGAAUGCCGCGGUGAAUGCGUUCCCGGGUCUU